AGAUAAAAAAACUGAAAAAUCACAAACGGCUAAAGAUUUGAGAAAAAUAUUGUUCCAUUGAAUUUUCUGCUUUGAAUUUUGAAGUUUUUCCAUUACUGAAACAAUUUCUGAUUCUCUUUGCGGUUGAAAUGGAUUGAGCUUGGGUAUUGAAAGAGCUGGUUUAGGUUUGUUGAUUGGUUUACUGUUCUAUUGAAUUUUCUGAGUGGAUUUUACUGUUUCAUUGUUGAGUUGAUGAAUCUGGACUAGCUGCUACUGCCUGUUGCUGAUAUUUUCAUUUUUUGUUAUUUUUGCUUUCCAGGUAUAUCUCUGGCCCUUGUUGACUGUGUAAUUCGAGUAAAACUUGAUGGAAUACAAGUUGUGUUCAAUUUAGUGUUCUCUCUUUUCCUACUAUUUCAAUUAUGUAGUAACUAUGUAACGAUAAGUGUUACAUGAGUUUGAUGUUUUCACAUUAUAAAUCUAGCUCGCUUACUGUUUGGAAUUGAGAAGGAUGUAAUUAGUUUGAAGUUUUAUGUUGUGUAUAAAAUCUAGCUUAGGUUAAAGUCCUUUUAUGAACUGUUUACCAUCAUGAAAUUAAACGUGUGUUUUCAGUAGUAUUCAAGAUCUCUUGGUGUGUUAGACAAUGAAUAAUACUGAGAUUUGCCAAUCUUGGUUUGAUUGUAUAGGGGUCACUUUGCCUUACAGGGUCCAGGCUCCUUAAGCUUGGAGUUCUGAGGUCAAUUUGCAAAGGGGGUUUGGGCCUGUCCCACAAGUCCCCAUAGUUACUGAGUUUGGUUGCUUGAUUAGUCAUGUAUCAUGUUUGUCCUGAAGUCGCAAAAAUUGAAAUUAG
rnacentral:lncRNA from 1 species